rnacentral:rRNA from 1 species
AUGAACGCUGGCGGCGUGCCUAAUACAUGCCAGUCGAGCGAACGGACGAGAAGCUUGCUUCUCUGAUGUUAGCGGCGGACGGGUGAGUAACACGUGGAUAACCUACCUAUAAGACUGGGAUAACUUCGGGAAACCGGAGCUAAUACCGGAUAAUAUUUUGAACCGCAUGGUUCAAAAGUGAAAGACGGUCUUGCUGUCACUUAUAGAUGGAUCCGCGCUGCAUUAGCUAGUUGGUAAGGUAACGGCUUACCAAGGCAACGAUGCAUAGCCGACCUGAGAGGGUGAUCGGCCACACUGGAACUGAGACACGGUCCAGACUCCUACGGGAGGCAGCAGUAGGGAAUCUUCCGCAAUGGGCGAAAGCCUGAUGGAGCAACGCCGCGUGAGUGAUGAAGGUCUUCGGAUCGUAAAACUCUGUUAUUAGGGAAGAACAUAUGUGUAAGUAACUGUGCACAUCUUGACGGUACCUAAUCAGAAAGCCACGGCUAACUACGUG